UACGUAGGUGCCAAGCGUUGUCCGGCACUUUGGGGCGUAAGGCGCGCGCAGGCGGCCUCUUAAGGCUGAUGUGAAAGCCCCCGGCUCAACCGGGGAGGGCCAUUGGAAACUGGGAGGCUUGAGUAUAGGAGAGAAGAGUGGAAUCCCACGUGUAGCGGUGAAAUGCGUAGAGAUGAGGAGGAACACCAGUGGCGAAGGCGACUCUUUGGCCUAUAACUGACGCUGAGGCGCGAAAGCGUGGGGAGCAAACAGG
rnacentral:misc_RNA from 1 species